GACGAACGCUGGCGGCGUGCUUAACUCAUGCAAGUCGAACGGUGAAGCGCCCUCCUUUUUGGUGGGUGUGGAUGAGUGGCGAACGGGUGAGUAACACGGGAGUAACCUGCCCCGUUCUUCUGGAUAACCGCAUGAAAGAGUGGCUAAUACGGGAUCUUCUGGGUCUGUCGCAUGAUGGGGUUGGGCGUGAUAUUGUUUCGGUGGGGGAUGGGCCCGCGGCCUAGCAUGUUGUCGGGGGGGUGAUGGCCUGCGAAGGCGGGGACGGGUAGCCGGCCUGAUAGAGUGGACCGUCACACUGGGAGUGUGACACGGUCAGGACUCCUACUGGAGGCAUCAGUGGAGAAUAUUGCACAGUGAGCGCGGGCCUGAUGCAGCGACGCCGCGUGAGGGAUGGAGGCCUUCGGGUUGUGACCCUCUUUCGCUAGUGAAGCAGGCCUGCCUCGUUUGUGGGUGGGUUGACGGUAGCUGGAUAAGAAGCGCCGGCUAACUACGUG
rnacentral:rRNA from 1 species